CCCCCAGGUGGAGUUCCAUCUGUGUAUCCGUGUGGGGGGCACCGUCAGUUCCUGCAGCCAUGGCCAGGAGAGCGCAUGGGUCCUGGAUGGGCUGCGGCUGCGGGUUCAGAGCCGACACUUCAUGCGGGAUCCGCUGCCCCCCCCCUGCACCCUCCUUCACCCCAUAGCUGCCCCCGCCGUGGGGCUGCGGCUGCCCCAUAGCGCGGCCGCUAUGGGGCUGGGGGGGGAGCUGAGCGCCGUCCCCAUUGCGGCUCUAUGUCCUUGUCUGAGACCCCUCCCCAACCUGCCCACCCACCUCAGCUCCGUCGCCAUAUCCCAGCACCCAUGGGGGCUA